GUAAGAACAGGAUUAGCAUAGAAGAACAAUGACACAAAGAAGGACACGUUAAAGAGUAUACAAAAAAAUCCAUCCUUUUCCUUGGAAUAUAUAGCUUAAUAACCGUUAGAAAGCAACAAAAACGAUAUUAAGAACUAAGUUGCGCAACAAAUUACUACAAAAUUCAUUGUUUUCUUUAGCAACUAAAAGUAGCUGUUGCGCGGCCUGAUUAAAGAAGAAAGAUAACAUAAACCUUAACCAAAAAGAAAUACAAGAAAACAGAGGAAGUUAAUAUGGAAGUUAGAAGAUGACCGGAUAGUCUGCUCCAAAAAGUAGGAAUACGGACAGCACCUCAACAUUUCAAAAAUGGCAAAGAAAUGCAAUGGAAACUUCGGGUGGCACAGAGUGAAAAUCCAAGAGGUAAGGUCAAAAAAAGGUAAAGAUAUCGAUAAGGCACGGUAAGCUCCCAAUUCCCAAAUGCCUGUGUCAAGCAUAAACCUAAAAAACUACUCGAUUGUCCACUAAAAGAAACAGAGAGAUUUGGAAUAAUUAUGAAGACUGCAAUCACUUUCAUUCUUGAAUCUUUG
rnacentral:misc_RNA from 1 species